UACGUAGGGGGCAAGCGUUGUCCGGAAUUAUUGGGCGUAAAGCGCGCGCAGGCGGUUUUGUAAGUCAGGUGUUUAAGCUCGGGGCUCAACUCCGAUUCGCAUCUGAAACUGCAAGACUUGAGUGCAGAAGAGGAAAGUGGAAUUCCACGUGUAGCGGUGAAAUGCGUAGAGAUGUGGAGGAACACCAGUGGCGAAGGCGACUUUCUGGGCUGUAACUGACGCUGAGGCGCGAAAGCGUGGGGAGCAAACAGGAUUAGAAACCCCCGUAGUCC
rnacentral:rRNA from 1 species